UUUUGAUUUGCAUAUUCUCGUGGUUAUUAUGUAAGAGAACUUAUCCAUAAAUUUUAUGCUCCAUUUUUUUAUGGAAUUUAUUUCAGGUCCAAAGAUGGUUUAAGGCAGUUGAUAGAUUAACAAGUGUGUGUAAUGUGGUUCCCUUAUAAAUUUCUUCUUUUCUUUUAGUGACUAUCAAAAUUUAGAAAAACUUUUCCCUCUUGGAGAAGUCAUUUUCCCUAAAUAUCAUAUGAUUUUCUCUUUAGCUAGGAAAAUAUUUUCUAUUGACUAAUUUUCUAAAUGUUCCAACUCUCAAAAGCAAAUUGUUAUAGAGAUGUAUUUGAUGCAGAAGAACUGGAGCCUUCAUAUGAAAGAAGUUAAAUAUUAAGUUUUCAAUCACUAAUUGAGUAGGGAAUUUAGCAGCAAAUCUUAUUCUCAAGUAUAUGUGAAGCAAAGAAAUGUACGAGGCCUAAGAAAUUGAAUGCUUUUUCAUUGUCGUCAAUGCCAACAGCAUAAUAAUUGGUUGGAUUAGCUGGUGAAACAUGGCAUGAGAAGUUUGGAUGGCAAAUUUGUUUCUCAAAUGUAGGUACUGGCUUUCCAUGUGAGGCAGUGUUGCUUGCUGAUGUCUGAUUCGUUUGUUUCAUUGGAGGAUAACCAUGAGUAUAUAUUAGAAAUAUUCGUAAUGUGGCUCGACUUCAAAGCUGUAUCAUUGCAUAAUCUUAUUGCAAAAUAUGCACUGGAAAAAAAGUAUAUAGUUUAAUUGAGGAAUUUUUCGUUGCUAAUCCAUUGGCACUAAACGUAAUUAUCAAAUUUUUAAUUGUUAAUUUUGGAUGGCAAUAUAUUUACUUUUCUAUUCCAUGGAAAACAUGUUAGUUAUGUUGUUAAUUAGAACGGAUUAUACUUUAUUAUAAUUUCCAUUUCUAAUCUAGAUACAUCUCUUAGUGAUCUACCUAGCUUUGUUGUCAUCGAUCCUUCUAAUUCUAUCUUUAUUCCUUGAAAAAUUUGCAGCCAUUUUUCAAUCUUAAAUGGUAAUUGCCCUCGAUUCAUUUAUUGCCCGUAAUCUCAAUUUUUUUGGGGGGGCUUAGGAUUGGGUUUUAGCGUGCUUUAGACUUGAGAAUGAGCAAGAUGUGGAGUGACUCCAACCUGGUCUUAUUCUCGCUUGCUUUCAAUCUGUUUUAUGCUGCCUGCUUAUUGUAUCAAAAUACUCUAUAUUUUGUUUUUUUUUUUUU